GAUGAACGCUAGCGGCAGGCUUAACACAUGCAAGUCGAGGGGCAGCAUAAACAUUGCUUGCAAUGUUUGAUGGCGACCGGCGCACGGGUGCGUAACGCGUAUGCAACCUACCUGUAACAGGGGGAUAACACUGAGAAAUUGGUACUAAUACCCCGUAACAUCAAAGAGGGCAUCCUUUUUGGUUGAAAGUUCCGGCGGUUACAGAUGGGCAUGCGUUGUAUUAGCUAGUAGGUGAGGUAACGGCUCACCUAGGCGACGAUACAUAGGGGUUCUGAGAGGAAGGUCCCCCACACUGGAACUGAGACACGGUCCAGACUCCUACGGGAGGCAGCAGUGAGGAAUAUUGGUCAAUGGUCGAGAGACUGAACCAGCCAUGCCGCGUGAAGGUCACGGCCCUAUGGGUCUUAAACUUCUUUUGUAAGGGAGCAAUAAGGUUCACGUGUGGACUGGUGAGAGUACCUUACGAAUAAGCAUCGGCUAACUCCGUGCCAGCAGCCG
rnacentral:rRNA from 1 species